rnacentral:rRNA from 1 species
CACGUAGGGCGCAAGCGUUGUCCGGAAUUAUUGGGCGUAAAGAGCUCGUAGGCGGUCUGUUGCGUCCGCGUGUGAAAACCCGGGGCUUAACCCUGGGCUGGCAGUGGAUACGGACAGACUAGAGGUAGGUAGGGGAGAAUGGAAUUCCCGGUGUAGCGGUGAAAUGCGCAGAUAUCGGGAGGAACACCGGUGGCGAAGGCGGUUCUCUGGGCCGUU